rnacentral:rRNA from 1 species
UACGUAGGGCGCAAGCGUUGUCCGGAAUUAUUGGGCGUAAAGAGCUCGUAGGCGGCCAGUUGCGUCUGCUGUGAAAUCCCGGGGCUCAACCCCGGGCGUGCAGUGGAUACGGGCUGGCUAGAGGCAGGCAGGGGAGAACGGAAUUCCCGGUGUAGCGGUGAAAUGCGUAGAGAUCCGGAGGAACACCAGUGGCGAAGGCGGCUCGCUGGGCUCUACCUGACGCUGAGGCGCGAAAGCGUGGGGAGCGAACCGG